CUUCAGCUGGAAUUCCAUACGGUCUUAUACCGUAUGCAAUCCCAGCUGAAGAACUUUGCUAAACAGCGUAACAUAUUGAGUUAUAGAGAUUUGGCAGUAACAGACAAUAGAGGGAAGUGACCAUAAAGCACUUAACUUCGGAUGGACAUAAAAACGAUUAAUAACUGUCGAAGUAAAAGAAAUAUUUACUAUUUAUAAUGGGGUAAGGGGAAUCCUUGCUCUUAUGUUAAGUGAUUGAACUGAAGUUGAAUUCAAUGUGUUGAAUAGCUUGAAAUUUGUGAAACACGAAUACC